CUUUCUCUUCCCACUUAAGCCAGAGGGCAGAAGAGCUUGGGUCACGCUGUCUGUGGCGGUCAGCCUCCUGGGACCUGGAACGGGGCAAAGACGGGUGAAGCUCACUUCCCAUCAUCAGGGUCUGUGUUGCACCAGAUCCCAUCAGCAACACCAGAUUAUGGUGAAAAUAAGCGCAUAGACUCAACAUUUAUUUAGAAAUUUACCCACAGAGGGAAAUGAGGAGGAUUGACUGCCAGAUGGAAGCCAAGGACCAUUAUACUUCAGUUCUCUUUUUAUACAGAAGGAGUGAUAAUGUUGAAAAGGUAAGAUGUCUGGUUUUGAACUAUCUUCCACUUCAGAGGAAUCCUGGGCCUUAGAAAGCUGAAGAAGAAACACUUUGGAGUCCAGUUAAAGAAAAGGAGGAUCAGGAUGCUUUGACAUACAGG
ensembl:lncRNA